GCCCUGCUACCCCAACUGGCACGAGGGCGCCGGCUCAAACCUGGCGCGUUGGCGGUUCGAGUCCGUCGCAGGGCA
rnacentral:tRNA from 1 species